AACCGGUCACUCAGCGUCCAAUCGUCCUCUUCCCUCCCCGGCAAUAACCCAGUCAACUUAAUUAAUGUAUUAACUGGCAAUUCCGGUUGCAGGUCAGCCGCCCACCCUGAUAUUUUAUCCAAUUUCUUGUCCAAAAAGAAAGUAAAACACAAGACAAAAUAGACACAAUAUAUAGACACAUAAUUACCACAGAUUAAAGUCAGGCCAGUUGCUAAACUUUGAGUCACUCAGAGGAGGGGUUUUCCAUUUUCAAUUUUUAUAUAUACAUAUAGACACAGAGUAAAUGCACCUGUACAAUGCAUGGCUGCCACCGCCGGUGGCGGAGGAGACGAAGCGAGAGAAGGAGGCGUUCGCUGGAUUGGUGAAGUCUGUGAAGGAGUCUUACAGUCCCGAUGAUCCUGAAUCGGUUUAUGCGACUCUCAAAUGGGUCUCCGUUAUUGAUCUUUUCAUAAAGGCUAAAAGUGAGCUAUCUAUGGAAGAUGUUUCCACAAUUGUUGAAAUUGGAUUGGAUCUAUUUCGAAUAUCAGAUAACAAACUAUAUGCUCAGGUUAGGUGGGGAAACAUACUGGUGAAGCUAUUGAACAAAUACAGAAAAAAGUUGUCCCUGAAAGUUGGGUGGAAGCCUCUAUAUGAUACUUUGAUUCAGACACACUUCACAAGGAAUACAGGCCCAGAAGGGUGGAGAAUAAGACAACGACAUUUUGAAACAGUUACAUCCCUUGUUCGAUCUUGCCGCAGGUUCUUCCCUCCAGGUUCUGCCUUUGAGAUAUGGUCCGAAUUCAGAUGUCUACUCGAAAAUCCAUGGCAUAAUGCUUCUUUUGAAGGUGCUGGGUUUGUUCGUCUAUUCCUUCCCACAAACUUAGAGAACCAGGGCUUCUUUCAACCCGAAUGGAUUAAAAUUUGUUUAGAUCAUUGGGAUUCAAUACCUAAUUGCCAAUUCUGGAACUGCCAAUGGGCUUCUGUUACAGCUCGUGUGAUAAAGAGCUGCAGUUUCAUUGACUGGGAAAGUUUCUUACCAGUUCUUUUCAAUACGUACUUGAAUAUGUUUGAGGUUCCUGUGGCAAAUGGGAGUGGGUCAUAUCCAUUCUCUGUGGAUGUUCCCAGAAACACCAGGUUUUUGUUUGCAAAUCGAACAGCCACUCCAUCAAAAGCAAUUGCUAAAUCAAUUGUGUAUCUAUUGAAACCUGGUGGACUUGCACAAAAGCACUUUGAGAAAUUUGUCAACCUUUUAGAGCAAUAUUACCAUCCUUCUAAUGGUGGCCGUUGGACCUAUGCAUUAGAGCGAUUUUUGUUCCACUUGGUGAAUGCAUUCCAAAAACGCUUACAACAUGAGCAACUGAGAAAAGAUGGCAAUGAGCAGCCUGGACUUUUCUUAGGACAACCUGACAGGGUUUCUUUUGUGAAUGUUGUACUGAAAUUAAUUGACCGUGGUCAAUAUAGCAAAAAUGAGCGCCUUUCAGAAACAGUUGCUGCUACAACUUCUAUUUUGUCAUAUGUGGAGCCCUCUCUGGUUCUUCCAUUUUUAGCGUCUAGGUUCCACAUGGCUUUGGAAACGAUGACAGCUACCCACCAGUUGAAGAGUGCUGUGAUAUCUGUAGCAUUUUCUGGAAGAUCAUUGUUUCUUACAACUUUAUCAGCCUUGCCUGUAAAUUCAGAUUAUGUUGGUGGCUCUGAUUCAUUUGGUGAUCUUCUUAUGAUUGCUUUAUCCAAUGCAUUACUUGGUAUUGAUGCCAAUGAUCCACCUAAAACCUUGGCAACCAUGCAACUGAUCGGUUCCUUAUUCUCCAGUAUGGCUAGCCUGGAAGAUAAUAUGGAUGAGGCGGCACCAUUUCCGUCAUUUAGCUUUUCAGAAUGGCUCGAUGAGUUCUUGUGUCGCCUGUUUUCUUUACUUCGGCACUUAGAACCAAGUAGUGUUCUGAAUGAAGACCUUCGUUCACCCGCAACUUCUGGAACUUUUCUGGUUGAUGAUGGCCCAUACUACUAUUGUAUGCUGGAAAUAUUGAUGGGAAGGCUUUCGGAUUCACUUUAUAAGCAGGCACUGAAAAAAAUUUCCAAUUUCGUCACGACAAAUAUUCUUCCUGGAGCUAUUGCCGAGGUUGGCCUGCUUUGUGGUGCUUGCGUUCAUUCAAAUCCACGAGAGGCAGUUAUUCACCUUCUCGAGCCAAUUUUAGCGUCAGCUAUAUCGUCUUUCAGAGGAACACCCACCACUGGUUUUGGAGGACGAGAAAGUUCAAAUAUCUUCCAGUCAAGCAAGGCAAAACCCAUUCUUUCUCCAGCUGUUGAAACAGCUAUAGAAUAUCAGUUGAAAGUAUUAUCGGUUGCCAUCAGUUAUGGAGGUCCAGAACUACUGCGUUAUAAGGAGGACUUUAAAGAAGCUAUAGUCUCUGCCUUUGAUUCACCAUCUUGGAAGGUUAAUGGGGCUGGUGAUCAUGUACUUCGCUCUUUGCUUGGAAGCUUGGUCCAUUAUUAUCCCAUUUAUCAAUACAAGUGUGUUUUGCACCAUCAGGGUGCCACUUCAUUAGAGGAAUGGAUCGAUAAGAAAGAUUUUUCAGUUGACAAACCAAUAAUGGCCCCAAAUUGGCAUGUCCCUACUGAUGAAGAAGUUAAAUUUGCUAAUGAACUUCUAAAGCUGCACCUUGAAUCUGCUCUAGAUGACCUUCUGAAGAUAUGCCAGUCUAAAAUCCAUUCCGAUCCAGGAAAUGAGAAAGAUCACUUGAAAGUGACUCUUCUACGUGUUGAUUCUUCCCUACAAGGUGUUUUAUCAUGUUUGCCCGAUUUCAGGCCAACCCAUAGUAAUGGGGUGGUUGAAGUUCCUUUCACGAUUGCUGGGGCAACAGGCUCAUGCAUUGGUAGCACAGAAUUACGACAAAAAGCUGCCAGUGUCAUCCAUGAAACCUGCGAAUUCUUGUUGAAGGAAAAAUCUGAUGAUAGCAUUCUACUGCUACUUGUCAUUCGUAUAAUGGAUACAUUAGGAAACUAUGGAAGUUCGGAAUACGAGGAAUGGUCAAAUCAAAGGCAGGCAUGGAAACUGGAAUCUACUGCCAUUAUCGAACCUCCAGUCAAUUACAUUGUGUCAUCAUAUUCUAAAGGAAAGAGAAGGCCUCGGUGGGCGCUUAUAGACAAAGCUUAUAUGCAUAAUACUUGGAGAUCAUCACAAUCAUCGUAUCAUUUAUAUCGCACGAGUGGUAGCAUGUUUCCAUCAGAUCACGUGAUUCUUUUAAUGGAUGAUCUCCUUAAUCUCUCUUUGCAUAGCUAUGAAACAGUUCGAGCACGUGCUGCAAAAUAUCUCCUGAGAACGAUGAAAAGAUGGCCAUCUACAAUUUCAAAUAUUGUUCUCACUCUUUCCGAAAACUUGAGAAAUUCCAGCUCACCAGAAAAUGUGGUCUUAGGUUCUUGUGCAGUACUUUCAUCCCAAACUGUCCUCAAGCGUUUGACAACGGACACCAAGGCUCUUUCUUCGUUCCUUCUUGGAAUUCUAUCAAGCUCCCACCAUGAAUCACUAAAAGCUCAAAAAGCAAUCAGCGAGCUUUUUGUCAAGUAUAAUAUCCAUUUUGCGGGACUGUCUAGAAGCAUACUCACUACACCUGGAAAUCAAGCAGACAGGACUGAUUUUGCAGAUUUGGUUGCUGAGAUUGGUGCUAUGAGUUUUGAAAGCUCGAACUUGCAUUGGCGGUAUAACUUGAUGGCUAACAGAGUUCUACUGUUGCUAGCUAUGGCAUCCAGAAAUGAUCCAAAUUCAUCUACAAAAGUUCUGAGUGAGACUGCUGGUCACUUCUUAAAGAAUCUGAAAAGUCAACUUCCACAGACUAGGAUAUUAGCAAUCUCUGCUCUGAAUACCCUUUUGAAAGAAUCGCCUUACAAAUUUUCGGCUGACUUGCCUGGUGGCCCUGGGGAUUUGGGGAGACAGACCACGUCUUCCCUUGAAGGAGCUUUAAGUGAUAUCUUUCUGGAAGAAGGAUUUUUUAGUGAGACUUUGAAUAAUCUUUCUCAUGUUCAUAUAAUUACUGACUCUGAUGCUGCAUCUUCUGGAGGAAAUCACCGAAAUUCUUCUUUUCAGAGCAUGGCAGACAAAUCAAUUUCCCGCUUCUAUUUUGACUUUUCUGCUUCCUGGCCCCGGACUCCUAGCUGGAUAUCUUUAUGUGGAAGUGAUAAUUUUUAUUCGAACUUUGCGAGAAUCUUCAAGCGGUUGAUUCAAGAAUGUGGCAUGCCUGUUCUACAGGCAUUGAAAAAUGCACUGGAGGAGUUUUUGAAUGCUAAAGAGAGGUCUAAGCAAUGUGUUGCUGCUGAGGCAUUUGCUGGGGUGCUGCAUUCUGAUGUUUUUGGCAUUUCAGAAGAAUGGGACAGCUGGAUGGUGGUCCAGCUACAGCAUAUUAUUCUUGCACCAUCUGUGGAAUCUAUUCCUGAGUGGAUGGCUUGUAUACGUUAUGCAGUGACCGGGAAAGGAAAAUCUGGAACUAGGGCACCUCUUCUGAGGCAAAAAGUAAUGGAUUGUCUGAUGAAACCUUUAACUGAAACAGUUACUACUUCUGUCAUUGCCAAGCGCUACACUUUUCUUUCAGCUGCACUCAUUGAGAUGUCCCCACCAAGAAUGCCAGAAGUUGAACUACUGGUUCACAGUAAACUUCUGGAAGAGUUGCUAAAUAAUAUGAAUCACUCGUCUGCACAAGUGAGGGAAUCAAUUGGUGUAACUCUUUCCGUGUUAUGCUCAAAUAUUCGGCUUCAUGCAUCCUUCAGUCAUGAUCACUUGCAUCAAACGGGAGCCAGCAGUUCAGAUAUGCAACCUGGGGGAAGCUGGGAUCGGUAUCUAAUAGAACAAGCUUCUGAACUAGUACUAAAUUUACAAAACAUUAGUGUGUCUGAAACCAUGGAGUUCGCAACAAACAAAAUAUCUGACAAUGGGACAUCAAUCGAUCAUUCUCAAGAUGAUAUCAAAUGGAUGGAAACGUUGUUCCAUUUUAUAAUUUCAUCCUUGAAGUCUGGAAGGUCUUCGGUUCUGCUGGAUGUUAUAGUUGGGCUUCUGUAUCCUGUGAUCUCCUUACAGGAAACGUCAUCUAAAGAUCUAUCAAAUCUGGCGAAGGCAUCUUUUGAAUUGCUAAAGUGGAGAGUUUUUGGGGUUCCCCAUCUGCAAAAAGCUGUAUCCAUUAUUCUUUCUUCAGCCCAUGAUUCCAAUUGGCGAACUCGAUCUGCAACUUUAACAUUUUUACGGAGUUUCAUGUACAGGCACACUUUUAUCCUCUCUAAGCUGGACAAACAACAAAUCUGGCAAACGGUAGAGAAACUACUUUCAGACAAUCAAGUUGAGGUAAGAGAGCAUGCAGCAGCAGUUUUAGCUGGGCUCAUGAAAGGUGGGGAUGAAGAUCUAGCUCACGAUUUUCGUUGCAGAGCUUAUGAGCAAGCAAAUAUUAUAUUUAAGAAGAGGAAGCAGAGAAGUAUGCGUUUGAGGGAUUCGAUUGCAUCCAUACAUGGUCCUGUACUUGCUUUGGCAGCUUGUGUGUUAUCAGUUCCUUAUGAUAUGCCCAGCCGCUAAGGAGCCCUCGAAGUGUCUUAAUGACGUUUGGUUUUGAUACCAAUAUACCAACACAGUGAAGAUGAGUGUCUUAUUUGCACUUGAACCUUUUGUCUCAGUUUCGCCCCAAUAUCGUAUUAUCGUACUCCACUCCAGACCUUUCUUGUUGAGUUGGAUUAGUUGAAGCAACAUGCUGAAGUGUAAUAAUACAGUUGAAUCAUGAAUGAUUGUUUUAAUUUUUUCCAAUGAUCAAAAUUUUGUUUCAGUUGGUUGCCUGAGCAUGUUACUUUACUGGCUCAAUUUGUUUCCGAGCCAUCACCUGUGAAAUCCACCGUUACAAAAGCAGUUGCAGAGUUCCGACGCACCCAUGCUGAUACAUGGAGUGUUCAGAAAGAUUCGUUCACCGAAGAUCAACUCGAGGUGCUGGCUGAUACAUCGUCGUCCUCUUCCUAUUUUGCUUGAUGUAUAUUUGUUCUAGAAACAGCCUCUCUGAGCACAAAGCCAAUAGCAAGGAAAGGGAUAGAAUAGAAACACAGUAGAUUAUAUAAUUCAAUGUCUUUGUAAUUUCAUUCUCAUAAUUUUUGAGCCAGUUAUAUUUACAUUAUUACUAUGCCUUCGCCAGUAAUAUGCUACGAUAAUAGUAAUAAUGAUGACAUUUGAACGAGUAAUAAUAUUACAUUGUUGUGCCUUGGCCAGAAGUUUUACAUUCUU